rnacentral:tRNA from 1 species
GUCCCUGUAGCUCAGCGGAUAGAGCGUCAGGUUGCGGACCUGAAGAUCGCCCGUUCGAAUCGGGCC